ACUGGUCUAGCUCAGUUGGUAGAGCAUGAGACUCUUAAUCCCAGGGUCAUGGGUUCAAGCCCCAUGUUGGGUG
rnacentral:tRNA from 1 species